GCCCUGGUUAGCUCAGUUGGUAGAGCGCUCCACUGGAAAUGGAGAGGUCCCGGGUUCGAUACCUGGACCAGGCA
rnacentral:tRNA from 1 species